rnacentral:rRNA from 1 species
AACGAACGCUGGCGGCAGGCUUAACACAUGCAAGUCGAACGCCCCGCAAGGGGAGUGGCAGACGGGUGAGUAACGCGUGGGAACGUGCCCUUCGCUUCGGAAUAUUCCCGGGAAACUGGGAGCAAUGCCGGAUACGCCGAAUUAGGAAAGAUUUAUCGGCGAAGGAUCGGCCCGCGUUAGAUUAGGUAGUUGGUGGGGUAAUGGCCUACCAAGCCUACGAUCUAUAGCUGGUCUGAGAGGAUGAUCAGCCACACUGGGACUGAGACACGGCCCAAACGCCUACGGGAGGCAGCAGUGGGGAAUCUUGGACAAUGGGCGCAAGCCUGAUCCAGCCACGCCGCGUGAGUGAAGAAGGCCUUAGGGUUGUAAAACUCUUUCGCCGGUGAAGAUAAUGACGGUAGCCGGAGAAGAAGCCCCGGCUAACUUCGUGCCAGCCGCCGCCGUAACAC